UAGGGAAUCUUUCCACAAUGGGCGAAAGCCUGAUGGAGCAACGCCGCGUGUGUGAUGAAGGGUUUCGGCUCGUAAAACACUGUUGUAAGAGAAGAAUGACAUUGAGAGUAACUGUUCAAUGUGUGACGGUAUCUUACCAGAAAGGAACGGCUAAAUACGCGCCAG
rnacentral:rRNA from 1 species